AACAAAAAUGUCACGUUUAGUUACUUAAUUUGACUCAACACAGGAGACCUCGCUUGGCCUGGCAUGGACAAGACUGACAGGUUGAUAGCUCUUUCUCUGUUCCAUAGGUGGUAGAGUGUGGCCAUUCUUAGUUGGUAGAGCCAUUUGUCGGGCUAGUUCUGAUAACAAACAAGACUCAGGCAUGCUAACUAGUUAUGGAACCUCCAAGCAGUGGUAUCCUCCAACUUCUCAGAGGGACAAGUGCUGUUCAGCCACCCAAGGUUUAAGCAAAUAACAGGUCUGGGCUGCCCUUAGAUGUCCCGGUUUGCAGGCACUACACUAACUGGCUGAGUGUGGCCUAUCCUGAGAAUGCAGCUUCAGGUAACCCUUUGAACCCCAUUCAUGAUGGGAAUCUGGGAUUACAAUUAUUCCCAAAGAACACAGAAUUUCCAUUAAGGGCCAUAAGCUUGUGUUGAUUGGUU
rnacentral:ncRNA from 1 species